UUGCAGUUAAAAAGCUCGUAGUUGGAUUUCUGGUAGGAUGACUGUGCCCUCAGUAGAGUGUGCGCUGGCGUCUUGCCAUCCUUCUGUUAACCUUUGGGAGCUUCACCGCUCCCUUUGGGGCUCAGAUAUUUUACCUUGAGAAAAUUAGAGUGUUUCAGGCAGGCUAGCGCCGGAAUACAUUAGCAUGGAAUAAUGGAAUAGGACUUUUGCCUCUUCUGUUGGUCAUGGGGUUCGAGUAAUGAUUAAUAGGGAUAGUUGGGGGCAUUGGUACUUCACUGUCAGAGGUGAAAUUCUCGGAUUUGUGAAAGACUAACUUAUGCGAAAGCAUUUGCCAAGGAUGUUUUCAUUAAUCAAGAACGAAAGUUAGGGGAUCAAAGACGAACAGAUACCGUCCUAGUCUUAACCAUAAACUAUGCCGACUCGGGAUCUCGGGGCCAGAACUAUCCGCCUUCGGCACCGUAUGUAGAAAUCAAAGUCUUUGGGUUCUGGGGGGAAUAU
rnacentral:rRNA from 1 species